GCGACGGUCGAGGAGUUCCUCGCUCUCGGCGCUGCGGGCGUCGGAUAGCUGUUCGGCGCUGCCCGCCGCC
rnacentral:tRNA from 1 species